UAUUUAACGAAGAAAAGAAGUAGUAAAAAAGAAAAUUUUUACAGAGAGUCGUUGCUUGCUGAAAAACGAUAAAAUCAACUUUUUGAACUUGUCUUGGAGUUUCUGAAAAAUCAGACGUAAGGAAUGCGUUAAAUCCUUCAAGAGGAUAAAAAAUCAAUUUUUUAUCAAUUAGAGUGGUACCGCGAAUCUUCGUCUCUAUC
rnacentral:ncRNA from 1 species